GUGCAUGGCUUGUCCCCAUGUCACGUAGGGGUGUAUUUGAGUAUUUAGCCCAUUCUUGCUGAGCUCUGCACUCAAGGUCAGCUGAGGCUGCUUUCAAGCACUUGCCUUCCUGCUUGCAGGGAGACUGGAGGGGUGAAAUCAGGAAGGACAACUGAAGGGAUGUAGGGGGCAGGAGGCUUGAGGACAGUAUAAAACUUCGGUUGUGAAAGCCCAUGUCAGGUCACAGAAGGUGAUCUCAGAGGACAUUAAGACAGAGGUCGGUAGGGAGGGGUGAAUGCAGGGACCCUGACUGGGAGAGCCCCCCCCCCCCCCCCCAGGAUCCAGCCUGGAGCUGUGCUGCUGUCCUGUCCCAAGACCGCAGCAUUCCUGGGCGGAGCCCCUGCCCCUUACCUCUGUGCUCGCGAGGCUUUUACCUCCCCAAAACCUGCUUGCUCACCUCUGUCUCACUGCCCUGCUAAUAAGGUGGAACUGAAGGGGCAGAUACAUGAGAGUGGAAUAGGACUGGCUCUCCCCCACCUCCCACCCUGUGCACCCCCAGAUGCCAGCAGAUAGCCCCUCAGGUCCCUGCCUGUCAGAGCAGCACUGUGCUCAGGGUCAGGCCUGGCUAACUAGCUAAGUGCUGGCACAUACAUUAACCCCUACUCUGAGUCCAGCCCCCACCUAGUCUGUAAACUGGACAUGAUCGUCCCCCCAUGCAACAUCUCAGGGCCACUCUGGAGAUGAAAGGAGCUCUCUGUAGGGAGUUUGCUUUGAGAACUAUAAAGAUACAGGGGCUAUCUCGGACACUGCCCGUCACAUCUCCAAGGUCCUCCCUGCCAAGGGUCUGAGCCGCAGGUCUCUGGACAGCUCACCAUCUGGAGUGGGCACUGAAGCCAGGGGAAACUGGCCUUCAGAGCUGCCUCAGCCCAAAGCUCUGGGUCAGCAGGUGGCUCAUGGGGAGCCUUGCUGGGUCUCUGCCAUCAGUCCCUCCCAGGCCCCAAGGAAGGUGGGCUGUGUAGAGGCAGCACAAGUUCCCAGCACACUGACGUCCGUGACACGGCAGGCUGCACUGUCCCCCUGGGCGAGCCUGAGUCACAGCUCUCAGAACUAUUCCUUGUACAUACAGAAAGUGGCUCUUUUCAAAGCACUUCCCUUCCAAACCCAUGAGGAGGAAGGAGAAUGGAUUUUGCUAUUUUCAUCUUGGACAGGCUUUGUAAUGCUGCCUCCCUAAACAAUACCAUCACUGAGGGUCGCACAAUCAAGUUGCCAGAGCUGGCCUUGGGCAGGCUCCCUGUCACAUUGUCCUGGGAUGUCUGUUCAAGAGACCUUUAGACGCUGUACCAAGAAGGCCUUGCCUACAGGCACCGUGCCCCAGGGCUCUCUGUGACAGCAGUCACACAUGACUGGCAGGACCCAGCAGAGGACUGAAUAUGGGGAAAACAGAGGGGAAGACUCCUCUGGAGCCUCUAUCAAGGGCAGAAUGAGCAUUCCCCUACAUCCCUCCUGGAUGUGAGCUGUGGUGGCCUCACCUCACCUCGCAGUGCUGAACAGCUGAGGCCUCCUGUACCAGGGCUCCUUUGAGCGAGGGCCCCUCAGUCCUCUGCGCUGUGAGUGUGCCCUCUUCUCAGGCGUACUUGCAGGAAGAAGCUGGAGUAGCAUAUCAGCUGUGUCACAGGUGAGUGAGGGGAGGGACCCUGAGCAGGGGACAAGUGCAAGCUCAUGCCACCUUGCCUCGUGCAUCCCCACGCUUACUCUGCCCUCUCAUGCUUUGAGCACUUCACCCCCAAACGUCUGCAGGGACGUGCAGAGCUGACGCAAUCUCAUACGUACAUGUUGUUUUGCAUUGCCGUCCACUUUUGCAGUCACUCUUGUGUCAAGAGCGUACAUUGAAUGUCAUUUAAAAAGUGAACACCAUUUCAAUGCAUAUUGAAAGAAAAGCUGACAGAGCUAGAGCAUCUUAAAAGUCCUUUCAGUUCACUCUAAGAUUACCUGGCCAAGACAAGCAUUCUUCAUAAGGUAAUCAGCAAGCACCUGGCAGGUGGAACUUUCCCAGGAGCUGUGGAGAGAUGUGUUAUAGGUGUCUCAGUCCCAGAGUCAAUUCAAGACCUUUUUCUUUCUUUCACGAAGUGCUUUUGAAUCUGAGCAGAAUUCGCCUACUUCCUGGCUCUUCCCACUUUGCCAUCCCCCAGUCUCCCAUAGAAGUUCUAUUUGGUGCUACACUGCUGUGUGACCUUUGGUAAAUGAAUCACCCUCUCUGUUCCGCCUUAUCAGCUAGUGAGGCUAUGAGACUGCCCUUACUCGCAGACGGUUCUGGGGCUCAGUUAAUUAGUAUUUCGGAUGCACUUUGAUCUACUCUGAUGAAAGGUCCUUCCGAGGAGAGAAGCAAUAGGAGCCUUUAUUGGAGAUUGGAGGUAAUAAUUUCACACUCUUUCAUAUAACUAUUGGGGAAUUUUUAAUUGAAGCAUAAAAAUAAUUCCCAUAAAAGAGCAUCUGUUAUUACAAACUUAUUUACAUUUUUCACAGAGUAGAAAGUUUUAAAAAAUAAUCAGUUGAAAGCUUUUAAGAGGGUGGAAUGCCAAAGACCAGCACAUGUGCACAGCUACCCAGCCCCACAUCUGUCAGGCAGACUUCGCCCCACAGAGCCAUGUAAACAGCUGCCCUUCCUUUCAUGAGUACAGAAUGGGAUUACAGCAGAGCCGGCCAGUAAAUCACAGUGGGGUUUAGGAGGGGAAAUAAAAUAGCUUGUUUGUGGCAUCCAGUGUCUCCAGCAUAAAAGUCACAUUGGAAUUAAAACAAUAUAGAUGCAGACAUGUUGGUAAAUAGUUGUGGGAUCACAUUGUCUCAGCCUAGGCGCAGCGUCCCAGCAUGUGGAGGAUGACCAGCCUGUUGGCCCCAGGGGCGAAUUCUAUAGCCCACUGGAAGCAGUGAGACCCUGGGGUGUAACCCCAGCCUCUGGAAACCGCCUCUGGCAUCUGGACAUCCUGUCCUUGGGCAUCCUGCUCACAGUACUUACGCAUCCCCCUACUCCCUCGGCUGUUUGACAUUAGGGGGCGACCCCCCUCCGGAGGGGCAGUACUUAGGGAAUAGCUAGUUUGAGGCUUUGAUUAACUUCUCCUUAGAUUUAUGAGCCUAAAAGGAAAGGCAGUUUGCUUUCCUCAAGCUACCACUUAUGGGUAUUCAUUGAACCCCAAGCGCUGUGCUAAACCCUUUAAAACUCUUUUUAUCUGCAGUAUCUCAAAACAACCCUACCACGUGAGUAACACUAUUAAUUCUACUCAAAGGCAAAGUAACAGAAGCUUAGAGGGGUUAAGUCACUCACCAGAGGUCACACAGCAUGUACUCGGUAGAGCCAGAAUUUGCUUGGAGGUCCUUGGCUUCGGUGCUCACGAUAUGACGUACGUGGAACCCCUGCCCCCUUGGGGUCAACAGACCUACCUCCUCACAUCCCACUGGAAGAUCACCCCACUGCCUGUGCACUCUGUGCAUGGAUUUUAGGGAACCUUGGAAACACCACUUGAAACUGACCAGCCCAGGCAUAGCCAUCAGCCUCCCUAUCCCCUAGGUAUGGACCUUAGAAGAGAAGUAUCAAGGAGAGAAACAAAGUGAACUGGGGAGAAUUACUUAUUAACCCCCAAACAUGUGCGCCUUGGAGUGAGAGAAGGUGCCCCAUCUGAAGGAGUCCUGACCGAAACUGGCAGGUUGGCCCAGCACUUCGGACACCAACGGACCCACAGGCUCCUGGCAGAUUGAAGACUGUAGAUAUGCUGAAGAAGAAGAAAAAAAAAAAAACGCAUGGACACUGGCCUCU